rnacentral:rRNA from 1 species
CGACGAAUCUUCCGCAAUGGGCGCAAGCCUGACGGAGCGACGCCGCGUGUGGGAUGAAGCGCCUUCGGUGUGUAAACCACUGUCAGGAAAUAGAACCAAUGAUCAUUUCCAAAGGAAGAGACGGCUAACCCUGUGCCAGCAGCCGCGGUAAGACAGGGGUCUCGAGCGUUAAUCGGAAUUACUGGGCUUAAAGGGUGCGUAGGCCGGCCCGCAAGUGCUUUGUGAAAUCCCCUGGCUCAACCAGGGAACUGCUUGGCAUACUGCGGGUCUUGAGGAAGGUAGGGGUUGCCAGAACUGUAGGUGGAGCGGUGAAAUGCGUAGAUAUCUACAGGAAUGCCGAUGGUGAAGACGGGCAACUGGGCCUUUCCUGACGCUGAGGCACGAAAGCGUGGGGAGCAAACAGGAUUAGAUACCCGCGUAGUCC